CUAUGAAGGUCGGGUCACGGUUCCGCCAAUCGAGCGCGGAUGAAAAGGGAACCCGGUGCGGAUGACCCAAUUGGGGCCAACUCCGGGGCUGCCCUCGCAACUGUAAGCGGCAAGUCCGCCGUCACUGCCACUGGUCGCUUGACCGGGAAGGCGCCGGAUGUCGCCUCGGCAUGCCCUUCGGCCCAGCGUCCCGUUCGCUGACCCGAACUGCAUCGCGAGGAGCCUGAUGCGUCUUUUGAACCUUA
rnacentral:ncRNA from 2 species